rnacentral:rRNA from 1 species
UACGGAGGGUGCAAGCGUUAUCCGGAUUUACUGGGUUUAAAGGGUGCGUAGGUGGGUCUGUAAGUCAGUGGUGAAAUCUCCGAGCUUAACUCGGAAACUGCCAUUGAUACUAUAGGUCUUGAAUUAUCUGGAGGUAAGCGGAAUAUGUCAUGUAGCGGUGAAAUGCUUAGAUGUGACAUAGAACACCAAUUGCGAAGGCAGCUUACUACGGAUCGAUUGACACUGAGGCACGAAAGCGUGGGGAUCAAACAGG